rnacentral:rRNA from 1 species
CUACGGGAGGCUCCAGUGGGGAAUAUUGCGCAAUGGGGGAAACCCUGACGCAGCAACGCCGCGUGAAGGACGAAGGUUUUCGGAUCGUAAACUUCUUUGAUUGGGGAAGAAUAAAUGACGGUACCCAAAAAACAAGCCACGGCUAACUACGUGCCAGCAGCCGCGGUAAUACGUAGGUGGCAAGCGUUGUCCGGAUUUACUGGGUGUAAAGGGCGUGUAGGCGGGGAGACAAGUCAGAUGUGAAAUACCACGGCUCAACCGUGGGGGUGCAUCUGAAACUGUUUCUCUUGAGUGCUGGAGAGGAAAGCGGAAUUCCUAGUGUAGCGGUGAAAUGCGUAGAUAUUAGGAGGAACACCAGUGGCGAAGGCGGCUUUCUGGACAGUAACUGACGCUGAGGCGCGAAAGCGUGGGGAGCAAACAGGAUUAGAUACCCGAGUAGUC